CAGCAGUCGCCACGGUAAUACGAAGGGGGCUAGCGUUGUUCGGAAUUACUGGGCGUAAAGCGCACGUAGGCGGAUAUUUAAGUCAGGGGUGAAAUCCCGCAGCUCAACUGCGGAACUGCCUUUGAUACUGGGUAUCUUGAGUAUGGAAGAGGUUAGUGGAAUUGCGAGUGUAGAGGUGAAAUUCGUAGAUAUUCGCAGGAACACCAGUGGCGAAGGCGGCUAACUGGUCCAUAACUGACGCUGAGGUGCGAAAGCGUGGGGAGCAAACAGGAUUAGAUACCCCGGUAGUCCCUGUCUCUUAUAC
rnacentral:rRNA from 1 species